UCCUUCUUAGCUCAGUUGGUUAGAGCAUCUGACUGUUAAUCAGAGGGUCGCUGGUUCGAGCCCAGCAGAGGGAGC
rnacentral:tRNA from 1 species